AGCAUAGCAACAGCAGCGUAGCUGAACAUCUUACGGAUGGCCCAGGGCUCCAAAGGCUCGUUUCCUAAGUGAGAGAGAGCCUGGCUGAAGCUGUAUUACCAUUCAUUCUCCAGCCUCCGAAGUCUCAAAGCAUCACUUCCACCAUACUCUAACUGUCAAGACAAACACAAAGGCCCAGACAUUACAUGUAAAUGGAAUCAUACAAUAUGUGAUCUUUUGUGACUGGCUUCUUUCACUUAGCAUAAUGUUUUCAAGGUUUGUUCGUGUUGUAGCAGAAACUGCCAGACUGUCUUCUGAAGUGGCUAUAAUAUUUACACUCCCAUCAGCAGUGUAGAAGGGGUCUCACUAUGUUGUCUGGAGUGCUGUGGUGGAGUGGAGUGGCUAUUCACAGAGCCUGUUCUGCUGGGACACAGAAUCACUUGCUCCAUCUCAUACAUUGAUGAUGAUUAAUUUGUAUGUGUACCUUCCAAAAAAGAUGGUUGUGUUUGAAUGGAGGCCUUCUGGACAGGAAAAUAUGGAGAGUGCGUGCUUUGGAUUCAAGACUGGGAAUGAGGGGACCAGAAACCUAUUCUGUGGCUGUUUCUUGUUAGGACUUUCCUAAGCCUCUGGAAAAGUGCAAAGUACAAUUAACAUUUGAGUCUGUCUGAGUCAUGAAGAAAUGGAGAUUACUGAAAAUAAUUCAUUUUGGUAUCUUCUUACAUCCUGAGAGACUAAUCUUUCCAAGUUCAUCUGAGGCUCCUCUUCUCCAUGACAACCUCAUCCAGGGAUUUCUUCCUGUCCUGGUGUUUUAUGACAUAAUCACAUCCUUCCUGAGAUAAUGAGCACACAAUUGCCUGGAUACCUGAAGGAAUGGAGACAGCGGCAGAAAACACUGCAGAGAGGUGGAAACAUCCGUUAAUAUUUUAAAAUCCCAUUACUGCUACCAACAAUAAUAAUGGAUGCAUAGAAAUAGAUCUGGAUUAGCUGAGCUUGAAACAGUCCAUCUCACACACACACAAAAGAAUUUCAGAUACAGUGAACCCACAUGUUGAAGCUUUCUAGUAUAAUAAAAAUUUCAACUGUUCUGUUGAAUCAUCUGCCUGAUUGGAGGCUACAGAAAAGAUGUCAUCUUAGGAGUGCUUGCUCUGAGUGAGGCUCAUCUUCAAAUCUGAAUGACCACAAGGAGAUUUGAUUAUACAUGUGAACACCUCAGAAGGCACAGCCCACCCAGAAGGCAGACAGAAGAAGCUGCCAGGAAGACUGUGAAAUCUUCAUGCCCAAGGAUCCCUAAAAUUAGGAGCAACAACCACUUGGCUCAGACGGUUUAUGGAGGCAAAGGUUUGGAUGGGAUUAGAGAUUUCUAAAUGUGAGUUCGUGUCCUCUGCCAGACCACCUUACUUCCACCAUUCCUCAGCAAAUCAAGAAAAACAGGAGAAAAGACAUGCCUUUCCAUAAGUUAAAUCUAUUCUGUUUUAAUUCUAUAUUAUAUCUGCUGUACAACUUCUUUUGUUUGUAACACCAUAUUGUUGCUAGUAACUGGAAAUUAAUUUUCACAUGCCUCAGCUUAGAAAAAUAAAAAGCAGCCCUGCAUCAA
rnacentral:sRNA from 1 species